rnacentral:rRNA from 1 species
UACAGAGGUCCCAAGCGUUGUUCGGAUUCACUGGGCGUAAAGGGUGCGCAGGUGGCUGGGUAAGUUUGAUGUGAAAGCCCCGGGCUUAACCCGGGAAUGGCAUUGAAUACUAUUCGGCUGGAGGAUUGGAGGGGGGACUGGAAUUCUUGGUGUAGCAGUGAAAUGCGUAGAUAUCGGGAGGAACACCAGUGGCGAAGGCGACUUCCUGGCCUGUUCUUGACGCUGAGGCGCGAAAGCUAGGGGAGCAAACGGG